rnacentral:misc_RNA from 1 species
GAUGAAGAACGUAGCGAAAUGCGAUAAGUAAUGUGAAUUGCAGAAUUCAGUGAAUCAUCGAAUCUUUGAACGCACAUUGCGCCCGCCAGUAUUCUGGCGGGCAUGCCUGUCCGAGUGUCAUUUCAACCCUCGAACCCCUCCGGGGGGUCGGCGUUGGGGAUCGGCCCUUUACGGGGCCGGCCCCGAAAUACAGUGGCGGUCUCGCCGCAGCCUCUCCUGCGCAGUAGUUUGCACACUCGCAUCGGGAGCGCGGCGCGUCCACAGCCGUUAAACACCCCAAACUUCUGAAAUGUUGACCUCGGAUCAGGUAGGAAUACCCGCUGAACUUAAGCAUAUCAAUAAGCGGAGGA